CAUACACACACUGCAACUCUCACAUACACUGCCACCCUCACAUACACACUGCACUGCUUACACACAAACACUUUCCCACACAUACACUGCCCCCUAACACACACACUGCAACCCUGACCUACACUGCCAUCACACACCCGCACACACACACUGCACCUUUCACACACACUUCACCCCUAACACAUACCACUGCUCCUAUGCCCUAUAUCCCAGCAGACCCCAGGUAAGUUGGCAAACUGUUCCUAAACGGUUUGACUACUUACUCUGGGAUGGGAUCCAGGCACUACUGGCGCC